rnacentral:rRNA from 1 species
AGCAGCCGCGGUAAUUCCAGCUCCAAUAGCGUAUAUUAAAGUUGUUGCAGUUAAAAAGCUCGUAGUUGAAUUUCGGGAUCAUCAGGUUGGUCGUGCCUCUGGUAUGUACUGAUUUCGAUGGUUCCUCCUUCUUGAAGAGCCGUAAUGUCAUUAAUUUGGUGUUGCGGGGAAUCAGGACUGUUACUUUAGAAAAAUUAGAGUGUUUAAAGCAGGCAAUCGCUUGAAUACAUUAGCAUGGAAUAAUGAAAUAGGACGUUCGAUCCUAUUUUGUUGGUUUCUAGGAUUGACGUAAUGAUUAAUAGGGAUAGGUUGGGGGCAUUAGUAUUCAAUUGUCAGAGGUGAAAUUCUUGGAUUUAUGAAGAC